CAGGAUCUGGCAGAACGGGAGCCUGUCCGCCCCGCUGUUGCACCAGCUUGGCAGCCUCGUCUGGUUGUCCUCGAAGAUCUUGAGCAUAUACGCGUCUCGAAUCUAAACCCACAGCAAAUCGGACAGUCAAUUGAUGAGUCAGAAAAGGGUAGGGAAUGAGGUGAGAAGUACUUGCCGUGAAUUCUGUGACCUGGAUCGAUUCCGUGAAAGGAGCAAAGACCCCGGCCUUCUUGUACAUUGAGAGAAUGAAGGCGACGCAAGUGGUUGAUUUGCCAUCGCUGUAUUCCCAGUCGUCCUGCUCGGGUAUAGUGAGCAA